rfam:Prevotella oulorum F0390 genomic scaffold supercont1.3, whole genome shotgun sequence.
UGAGAAAGUGCUUAGAAUUCUCAGCAGUUCAGUGGUGUUAAUAGCGUUCUCUCUGGCCAGAUGACGCGGUUAGUGAAUC